GACUCCAUGAAGUCGGAAUCGCUAGUAAUCGUAGAUCAGAAUGCUACGGUGAAUACGUUCCCGGGCCUUGUACACACCGCCCGUCACACCAUGGGAGUGGGUUGCAAAAGAAGUGGCUAGUUUAACCCUUCGGGGAGGACGGUCACCACUUUGUGAUUCAUGACUGGGGUGAAGUCGUAACAAGGUAACCCUAGGGGAACCUGGGGUUGGAUCACCUCCUUAUCUUGAAG
rnacentral:rRNA from 2 species